rnacentral:misc_RNA from 1 species
AGGGCGCUUUGUUCACCACGUCGGAGAAGAAAUCGGCCAUUUUUUAGUAUUCUCUGUACGCUGCAAGAUGAGUUACGGAAGAGGUCCUCCAAAUUCUGAGGGAAUGAUUUCCCUCAAAGUGGAUAAUCUCACCUAUAGAACCACACCAGAAAAUUUAAAAAGGGCAUUUGAAAAGUAUGGCGAUGUUGGAGAUGUUUAUAUCCCACGCGAUCGCUUUACACGCGAAAGUAGGGGUUUUGCCUUUGUCCGAUUUUACGACAAGAGGGAUGCCGAAGACGCAAUGGAUUCCAUGGAUGGUGCCAUCUUUGACGGCCGCGAACUGAGAGUGCAGACAGCACGGUACGGAAGACCAGACACACGACGCGGUGGCCCACCGAGACGGUAUGGAGGAGGGUACAGUCGAAAUAAUAGAGAUCGCAGAAGCAGGUCGAGGUCAAGAUCCAGAGACCGACGAGGAGAUCGCAGACGACGUUCAGAUAGUAGAUCAAGGAGAAGUCGAUCGUACAGCAGAAGCCGAAGUAGGUCCCCAAAGAGCCAGAGCAGAUCCCGCAGUCGAAGCCAGAGCAAAGGAAGCGACCGUGGACAUUCCAGAUCUCGUUCACCAGCCAAAUCUGAUCAUUCUGUUGGUGAAAAGGAUUGAUUAACUGGGAAGUUUCUGUGGAGCCACACUUGUUGAUAUGCUGAGAGAUACUCUUGGUGUACUCUCCUGAUUAUGAAAAGGAGGGCGGAGGUUGUUAGUGGCACGUGUAAUGUUAUCAGUGCUGGGUGCCUGUCUGCAGUCAGUGCGGGUUAUCCUGGGCAGGUGUUAAUCGAGAAUAAGAGAGCGUUAGUCAAGAUUCACGAGAAUCGAGGUCUUGCUGUGGUUGAGUCGAGAGCUAACCAAGCUGCAUGGGCAGUGCUGAUUGCAUCACCAGCUCUUCCAGUCAAACAUGCUGGCUAGAAAUGGCGACAGUUUUCUCGCUGCAGUUUUGAUCGGUCCACAACUACAGCUUUAUUUCCUUCAUCAACAUGUUUUAUUUUGGCUUAAAUUUAUCCAGCAGUUUCUUUGGUUAAAUUUAAUUUUUAAAAAAUAUUCCAGCAUCCUUUGCUGAUAUACUAUUUUCAAUACAAUUUAAUUUUAAUGAAAUAAUUUUAUACUAAACACUAUCUUGGUACAUAAACAGAUUAAUAAUACAGAUUUUUAAGAUUCAACUAUGGACAUUCAUUACACUAACUUAUUUUUACUAUUUUAAUUUAUUCACUGCUGAAUUUAAAAAUUGCCACUUUAUACAAUGCAUUUUUAUAACAUGAUUUAAAAAAAAUGGCUCAAGAUUUUAAAUAGUUUUUUGUUUUACAUAUGGUAUUUUUUAAUUAUAUAUAUAUUUUUAAAUAUAUAUUUUUACCAUGUUGGGUUUUUAGCCAUGUGUGGUGGGUUUUGUUUAAUAAAGGGGUCAAAGGUGAUGGCUGAAAGCAGAGUAGCUGGGAGAGGGGACUACAGCAGUUUUAUGAUAUAAUUAACUUUUAUUUACCAGUGUUGUCUGGCAAUUUAGUCCACAGUGAAUUUAACCAUUUUUGACCAGGUAAGGACACUAUAAAGCUUUGUCAUUGUGACUUUGUUGAUCGGCGUCUGGUGCAUUCAGUGAUACUGGGUCCGAUAAUUUAAUUUGUACAUAGAAUUGUAAGUACAUAGAAAUUAUAAUCUAUUGUGUGUAAAAUUGAUGUUUAUCCCUCUACUAGUCUUUGUGUAAAGUGUGAACUUUACCACCAUACAAAGUAACCUUUGCCAGUAAAUACAAUUUGUGGAACUGUUGACUAAUGAGUACUAUAAUUAUAUACUCCUUGGUGUGAUAAUUUGGAAAUCCUGUAAUGGCACAAGCUGUGUAAAUUUUAAUAAGUUAAUUAAGUUGGUACAUUUUAUUUUUAUGCAUUACAUUUCAAUUAAAAUAUUGACCAUUAUUUUCACUGUCCUCUCACUAUACCUGUCCAAUGUUAAGAGUAGAUCUGUACACUGUAAAUGAUUAAUGGAUUUUCAGAUCUAUCCUCCCUCCUGCUAGAUCAUAACUACUUCCUGGGAGAGAUCUCGUCUCGACUCCUUUGUUAAGAGAUGUAGAAACGGUCCAUUUCCAGUAUCGUGAGUUGCUACAUACCUGAGAAGAAAUCUGCUUCGCAUAUCUUGAUGUUGGAGCCCGUAAACAUCUUUUCAAGCUUUUCAGAUGGACUUCUGGCGUUUCUAGUCUUGAUGAUUUUAAUUAUUAAAUUUAAAUAAAUUGUUUAAAUGUU